AACGCUGGUCACGUGGAGAGAAAGGGGAAAACACACAGACGUACACCCCCAACGAGGAAGAGGAGGGGUCUUGGCGCCGUUGCCAUGGAGACGGACAGGCUUCGGGCCUAGUCCUGUCGCUAGGCCCUGCGCAGCCUUUGUUGCUCUCCUUUUUCUAAUGUGUGUGUAUGUGUUUUUUCCCGGCGGGCACCGCGCGGACAACGGUCGCCCUGAGUUUUGUUUUGGGGUUUUUUACACUUUAUUUUUUUAAAUUGGUAUUACAUUCUGUGACGUCACAUUAUAUAAUAUGUGCACCUUGUCAAUCGGCUUUGCGAAUUAAGACCAAGUUGACCUUUUCGUGAUUGAUCAGAAAACAAAGCACGCUAAAUGCAAGAUGAGCAGAAGCACAUGCUGUGGCCUUUCCUUGCAUCUUAAUGUCGAAUGGUCAAGUUCACAGGAGAUAUGGCAAAGUCUUUGCUUUCUGUUUCCUGAACCAGACUUCAGAGAAUGACACAAUGAGCCAUGAAUAAGAUAUCCUCGAAGAACAGAAGAUGGAAUAGAUGCAAGGAAAAGGGAUAAUGGUAGUCAGAUAAAUUGUUUUAUACAAAUACCUUGUCUAGGUCAAGUCAUUAGAAACGGUGCAAAUAGAAGAAGGCAUAUAUCAGCAUGCAAAUGAAAGAUAAGGAAGACAGCAAUGAGACCAGAGCAUUAGCAAGAUUAAUACCAGGGGCAUAACAACUUUUCCAUCUGGGUUGAUGGCAUACAACCAUGGUUAUUAUUUAAAGUAAUAUGGAAAAGACCUAACAGAGAUUUUGACCGGAUGUGAAUAAUGAUGGAGAUGCCAUUUGCAGUGACGCUUUUCCUUUCUUUUUACAUGGAUAAGAGCACAAGAGAUGUGAAGGGAAAUGAACGCAGAGGAGAAAUCAGAUUGACGUAAGCCACAGCUUAAAUUAGUGGGAGUACAAUAAACAGAUCGUUGAGUUUUC